rnacentral:rRNA from 1 species
CCUACGGGUGGCAGCAGUGAGGAAUAUUGGUCAAUGGGAGGAAUCCUGACGCAGCGACGCCGCGUGAGGGAUGAAGGUCUUCGGAUCGUAAACCUCUGUCAGCAGGGAAGAACGGUCACUGUGCUAAUCAGCAGUGAAUUGACGGUACCUGCAAAGGAAGCACCGGCUAACUCCGUGCCAGCAGCCGCGGUAAUACGGAGGGUGCGAGCGUUAAUCGGAAUUACUGGGCGUAAAGCGCUCGUAGGCGGUAUGUCACGUCAAGGGUGAAAUCCCCGCGCUCAACGUGGGAACUGCCUUUGAAACUGGCAAACUGGAGUGUGUGAGAGGAUAGUGGAAUUCCAGGUGUAGGAGUGAAAUCCAUAGAUAUCUGGAGGAACAUCAGUGGCGAAGGCGACUAUCUGGCACAUAACUGACGCUGAGGAGCGAAAGCGUGGGUAGCAAACAGGAUUAGAUACCCGGGUAGUC